rnacentral:rRNA from 1 species
GAUGAACGCUGGCGGCGUGCCUAAUACAUGCAAGUCGAGCGAACAGACGAGGAGCUUGCUCCUCUGACGUUAGCGGCGGACGUGUGAGUAACACGUGUAUCACCUACCUGUAAGACUGGGAUAACUUCGGGAAACCGGAGCUUAUACCGGAUAAUAUAUUGCACCGUGUUGUUCAAUAGAGAAAGUCGGUUUUGCUGUCUCUUAUAGAUGCAUCCCCGCCGCAUUAGCUAGUUGGUAGGUUAACGGCUUACCAAGGCAACGAUGCGUAGCCGACGUGAGAGGGUGGUCGGCCACACUGGAGCGGAGACACGGUCCAGACGCCUACGGGAGGCAGCAGUCGGGAAUCUUCGGCAAUGGGCGAAAGCUUGACGGAGCAACGCCGCGCGAGUGAUGAAGGUCUUCGGAUCGGAAAGCUCUGUUAUGAGGGAAGAAACAAUGUGUAAGUAACUAUGCACGUCUUGACGGUACCUAAUCAGAAAGCCCCGGCUAACUACGUG